rnacentral:rRNA from 1 species
AACGACGGGGAAGCUUGCUUCCCCGGGCGUCGACCGGCGCACGGGUGAGUAACGCGUAUCCAACCUGCCUCUGACUGAGGGAUAACCCGUCGAAAGUCGGCCUAAUACCUCAUGGUAUCGUCUGCGGGCAUCCAACGACGAUUAAAGAUUUCAUCGGUCAGGGAUGGGGAUGCGUCUGAUUAGCUUGUUGGCGGGGUAACGGCCCACCAAGGCUACGAUCAGUAGGGGUUCUGAGAGGAAGGUCCCCCACAUUGGAACUGAGACACGGUCCAAACUCCUACGGGAGGCAGCAGUGAGGAAUAUUGGUCAAUGGGCGAGAGCCUGAACCAGCCAAGUAGCGUGCAGGAAGACGGCCCUAUGGGUUGUAAACUGCUUUUAUGCGGGGAUAAAGUGAGGGACGUGUCCCUCAUUGCAGGUACCGCAUGAAUAAGGACCGGCUAAUUCCGUGCCAGCAGCCGCGGUAAUACGGAAGGUCCUGGCGUUAUCCGGAUUUAUUGGGUUUAAAGGGAGCGUAGGCCGUGGAUUAAGCGUGUUGUGAAAUGCAGGUGCUCAACGUCUGCACUGCAGCGCGAACUGGUCCACUUGAGUGUGCGCAACGCAGGCGGAAUUCGUCGUGUAGCGGUGAAAUGCUUAGAUAUGACGAAGAACUCCGAUUGC